AAAGGUAAACCAUUUGAACAGAUUUUAUUCUCUCCGAACAGUAUGAGUACAUAUUCUGAAUGCAAAUUCUUCUGCCUAUAAGAUGAAGAAAAAAAUGAAAUUUCAAUGGCUACUAUCUAUUUAAAUCUACAUUAAUGCUGUAGAUUUUCUUCAAGUACUUGUUUAAAUUAAAGUUGACACCUAUUUCAAAUCAUGCCUUUCUGAAAUCCUUAUUAAUAAGUCACCACUAUUACUGACUGGGACAUUGACAAGUUUGUGAUGUAAACUGAUAUUCUCAAAGUGUGAGAAGCGAGGAACCAAAUUCUCCUCUGUCAUUCCGUAUUCUCUUGAACACUGCACUAUGCAUGUAAAUGCGUGGUGGAAGAGGUGGGAUUCUGAAUGUGUGUGUCCCAACAAAAUAUAACAAAACAUUAAAAAAAAAAAAAAAAAAUAGUGGAAGACUGGCAAAAUAAAUCUCUGAUCAGUCCAAUGCUUACCAUUAAUAGACACACUAUACUUUGAAAAUCUCAAGUGCUCAACAAAGAACCUAUGAGGUAUCUAGGCAGACCUUCUAAAAAUUUGGACAGUCAAAAAAAAUAUUAAUUUACAUUCAAAACUUUACAUAAAAAAAAAAUUUUCUGUGAGCAGUAUUGUUGAAAAUAAGAAUGCGGCACAUUUCUCAUCACCUCAUAUUUUUUCUAAUCUCUUCCUGGAGCCAAAAGGAUUUCCACUUUUUUUUUGUUGUUUGUACAAACAAGAUCCCAAAUUCUACAGUAAUAUUCCCCUUCCCCUCCCAGUAGCCAGUACCUUCUUCUUCAAAAGGUCACUACAGAAUUACAGGAUGUGUUCCUGUCUCCCUUAGGAUUUACAAACACAAUUCCUCAUAACAGUGAAUGGAAAUUUUUGUUGAAUAACACAUUGUAAUAACAGUACAUUACUAAAUUUGAAAGUGUGACCUAUUUGGUAUAUUCACAGAUUACUAUAAAAGUGCUGUACAAAAUGUAAAAUUCACAAAUGUGCUGGCAUACAUAAACACAUAAGCACACAGAGAACAAUAAAUUGCCUGUACAUCCAGACACAUACACGGAAUAUUGUAUUUAUAAAUACAGAUUAAUGCACUUUAAAUAUUUAAACUUAAUAAUUUCUGAAGAAUGAUCUAAUCAGCCAGGAAGGUUUAAAGGUGCCACAAAACUACACAUGUAAGUAUGGCCUUACUGCUGACCUUACAAUGCACUUAGUAUCUUGUACUUCACUAAUGCUGUUUCUACCACUACAAGCAAUUUAUUCUACCUCAUGUUCAUCAAGUGCUCAUAAAUCAGCAUUAGGCCACUUUUUUACUGAGUUGCUGAUUUUUAGCCAGCAGACAGCAGCACCAUUUGGAUUCAAAGUCUAAUAUUGGCACACAUUGAUUUUAAUUAGUCUAAUUAGUUCAUUACACUAAAAAUCAAACAGACCAUUUAUUACAUUCCCAACUAAUGACAUAUGAUCAAGGAUUUAAUAUGAUAAUGAGCAAGAUCAAUUAUCACUCAUAAAGGAAGUCAUUAACAAGUGUAAACACUGCCUAACUGAAUACCAUUACAAAUUUUGAAGUCAUAGCUAGGCCAUUUGCAUAAGCAUACUAAUUUUAUUUCAUGAUAUUCUUUCCACUUAAUACUCCGAAUACCUUUCAUAAAGCUCCCUUUUUCAUGAGAAUUGAUUCAUAGCUAUAAACUCAAUUCUUACUGCCAGUAAUGCAAUUGUUCACUACACAGUCCUUAAACUCUAUGCUAUUAAAUCAAAGUUCAAGCAAACCAGACAAUGUCUACAGACUCUCUCAGAUAAUAUUACAGAAUAUUACAAGAAGGAAAUGAGGUUUCCAGGUGUACCAAAGUGGAUCCAGAAGUAUUUCUCUACCAGGUAAAAUUCAAGAACUAUGUUCUUUGUGGUCUGGGACAUUUCACAUAUAAAAGUGCACUAGUGAUAGAAGUCAGGCCUGCCAUGGUUGUUUAGCAGUAUAAAGAGAAGGAAGCAACAUCCACCAGGGUAUUUUCACUUCACUGCAGAAACUCCAAAUUUCAAACUUUUAAAAUAAAAUUUACAGCUUAAGCUGUAAGUAGUUAAAUAUUCUACUAUCCUGAAAGUCUCAGUACUCAAUUCUAACCUUAGUUCUAUUUAAUUUUUCCAAGGUCACUGUCACCAUCAUUAUCUAUUCUGUAUCUUACAAUAGCAUCCAAGAUGUCAAUCAAAAUCAUAGCAAUUAUACUUUCUAUUAUAGCAGAAUCAUAUCUCUGUGGUGCACAACAAUCGAGAAUGUAAAGGAUAAGCCCUCAAUCUGCCAAAUUAUUAUCCUCCUGUUCUACUUUACAACGGUUUGGAAUACUUUUCAUAUGCUCUUCUCUAUACCAGAACAUUUAGUGAAUACAUGAUUAGAGACCUAUGUAUCACAUAUAUGUAUCACAUGCAGCUCAGUAUUUAUGAAAUGCAUAUGGAAUUUUUUUCAUUUUUUGUAUUUGAAUAAGAAACUGGAAGAAUUCUCUAUUUUCAUGAAGCUCUUUAAAGAUUUCUAAGUGUAGAAGUUGUAACUAACACAUACAGCCCCGUUACAAGGGUGGUGAGGCACUGGAACAGGUUGCUCAGAGAAGGUGUGGAUGCCCCAUCCCUGGAAGUGUUCAAGACCAGGUUGGAUGAGGUUUUCAGCAACCUGGUGUAGUGGAAGGUGCCCCUGCUCAUGGCAGGGGGGCCAGAACUAGAUGAUCUUUAAGGUCACUUCAACACAAACCAUUCCAUGAUUCUAUGAUGGAUAUACGAAAAAUUGAAUUUACUGUUACUCAGAUUAGAACUUCACUCCAGAAGCUUUUCAGUAUAGAACUACAUUUUUAUUUCUUAAAAAUAUCUUGCUGGUUCUGAAGUCUGCUUGUUCUAGAAGCAGCACAUACUAAGACAUUUAAUAGCAUCUAAUCUCUAUCAGUAAUAAGUGACUUCUACAAAUACUGUGUUCACCAAAAACUGAAAGCUGUACCUUCAGAUUCUUUGAUUAAGUUUCUUACAAGGCUUCAAUCUUUGAAGGCAUCAUCAAAACGCAUUCAGCACUUCACAGAAAUAAACUCAGUAUCAACAAACUUCAUUUUUUUCCUAAAAUACAUUAACAACGCAAAAAACCUAGGUGCAUGUUUCUCCUACUAAAUUUCAAAGUAAAUAAAAACUCAGUAACAAUUCUUAUACUAGUGCAUCCCUGCACCUAAUAAUUUAGAAAAUACGGAAAACACAAAGAAGUCCAACUAGCUGUAUAGCUUUGGGGCCGUAAAGAUCAGAACAGCUCUCCAAAACACUGGGAGACCAAAGCUGCACCUCUCACUAUCCAGCCCCAUUAAGUUUGAGACUGGUGGAAGACAACUGAUUUAUAGCUGAGUCAUUAAGUGUUUCAUGACUUCAGGUUUUAUGUGCUUAUAUGCAUUAGUGCUUAAAAUUUUGUGUACUUAUAUCCUUAGUACUUAACUGGACAUAUUCCGGAUUCUUCUACAUCAUUAUCUU
ensembl:lncRNA